rnacentral:rRNA from 1 species
GAUGAACGCUGGCGGCGUGCCUAAUACAUGCAAGUCGAGCGAACGGACGAGAAGCUUGCUUCUCUGAUGUUAGCGGCGGACGGGUGAGUAACACGUGGAUAACCUACCUAUAAGACUGGGAUAACUUCGGGAAACCGGAGCUAAUACCGGAUAAUAUUUUGAACCGCAUGGUUCAAAAGUGAAAGACGGUCUUGCUGUCACUUAUAGAUGGAUCCGCGCUGCAUUAGCUAGUUGGUAAGGUAACGGCUUACCAAGGCAACGAUGCAUAGCCGACCUGAGAGGGUGAUCGGCCACACUGGAACUGAGACACGGUCCAGACUCCUACGGGAGGCAGCAGUAGGGAAUCUUCCGCAAUGGGCGAAAGCCUGACGGAGCAACGCCGCGUGAGUGAUGAAGGUCUUCGGAUCGUAAAACUCUGUUAUUAGGGAAGAGCAUAUGUGUAAGUAACUGUGCUCAUCUUGACGGUACCUAAUCAGAAAGCCACGGCUAACUACGUG